AUUGAACGCUGGCGGCAUGCUUUACACAUGCAAGUCGAACGGCAGCGCGGGCUUCGGCCUGGCGGCGAGUGGCGAACGGGUGAGUAAUACAUCGGAACGUGCCCAGUAGUGGGGGAUAGCUCGGCGAAAGCCGGAUUAAUACCGCAUACGACCUGAGGGUGAAAGCGGGGGAUCUUCGGACCUCGCGCUAUUGGAGCGGCCGAUGGCAGAUUAGCUAGUUGGUGGGGUAAAGGCCUACCAAGGCGACGAUCUGUAGCUGGUCUGAGAGGACGACCAGCCACACUGGGACUGAGACACGGCCCAGACUCCUACGGGAGGCAGCAGUGGGGAAUUUUGGACAAUGGACGAAAUCCUGAUCCAGCAAUGCCGCGUGUGUGAUGAAGGCCUUCGGGUUGUAAAGCACUUUUGGCGGGAACGAAAAGGACUGUGCCAAUACCACGGUUCGAUGACGGUACCCGCAGAAUAAGCACCGGCUAACUACGUG
rnacentral:rRNA from 1 species